GCGCUGCAUUAGCUAGUUGGUAAGGUAACGGCUUACCAAGGCAACGAUGCAUAGCCGACCUGAGAGGGUGAUCGGCCACACUGGAACUGAGACACGGUCCAGACUCCUACGGGAGGCAGCAGUAGGGAAUCUUCCGCAAUGGGCGAAAGCCUGACGGAGCAACGCCGCGUGAGUGAUGAAGGUCUUCGGAUCGUAAAACUCUGUUAUUAGGGAAGAACAUAUGUGUAAGUAACUGUGCACAUCUUGACGGUACCUAAUCAGAAAGCCACGGCUAACUACGUGCCAGCAGCCGCGGUAAUACGUAGGUGGCAAGCGUUAUCCGGAAUUAUUGGGCGUAAAGCGCGCGUAGGCGGUUUUUUAAGUCUGAUGUGAAAGCCCACGGCUCAACCGUGGAGGGUCAUUGGAAACUGGAAAACUUGAGUGC
rnacentral:rRNA from 1 species